rnacentral:tRNA from 1 species
CCUUCGAUAGCUCAGUUGGUAGAGCGGUGGACUGUAGAUGCAAAGAGUUGAUAGAAAUCCAUAGGUCACUGGUUCAAAUCCGGUUCGAAGGA